GUAAAAAAUGCCCUGCAUUGCAGCAAAGUUCUCCUGCAACAGGGCGAUCAAAUUAAGAUCCUACAUCUGUAAUAAUGUACUAUAUUAUGUGCAUCUUCACAUAAUGGAUAAUUAUGACCUGAAUAAGGGUUGUGUGCCUAUGUGUUGCAUGUAUCUGUAUAUCAUAUUUGUUCUAACAAUGUUUAAUUGAGGGUCGUAAUAAAGUUAUGAAGCCUCUCUCCCUCUUCGGUAUUUACAGUUCCACUGCUGGGUUUUUCCAUACUGACACCAACAAUAAAAGCGGCCUGCAUCCUUAGGGGUGUGUGUGACUUCACAGGGGUGUGUGAUGGAGGGGUGGCCUCUGUAAGCCUCUCUGCCAACCUCAUAUAAACCCAUGCACACCCACACCACACACCCAUCCAAACACACUCUCUCACACACACACUCCGGCCGAGUACAGAACACACACAGAGAUGGACUUUCUGAAAGGAUCUGGGAAGCAGGUGGAUGCAGUGAUCGACAAAGCAGCUGUUGUGGUGAAGGAGAAGGUGGGAGAGAUGAUCGGAGGAGGAGCUAAGGAGGAGAAGAAAGAUGAAGGUAUUGGUGGCAAGGUGUCUGAUGUUGUGGUUGUUCCACCAGGUAUUGGUGGCAUGGUGUCUGAUGUUGUGGUUGUUCCUCCAGGUAUUGGUGGCAUGGUGUCUGAUGUUGUGGUUGUUCCUCCAGGUAUUGGUGGCAUGGUGUCUGAUGUUGUGGUUGUUCCACCAGGUAUUGGUGGCAUGGUGUCUGAUGUUGUGGUUGUUCCUCCAGGUAUUGGUGGCAAGGUGUCUGAUGUUGUGGUUGUUCCACCAGGUAUUGGUGGCAUGGUGUCUGAUGUUGUGGUUGUUCCUCCAGGUAUUGGUGGCAUGGUGUCUGAUAUUGUGGUUGUUCCACCAGGUAUUGGUGGCAUGGUGUCUGAUGUUGUGGUUGUUCCUCCAGGUAUUGGUGGCAUGGUGUCUGAUGUUGUGGUUGUUCCUCCAGGUAUUGGUGGCAUGGUGUCUGAUGUUG
rnacentral:lncRNA from 1 species